rnacentral:lncRNA from 1 species
UCAGGUGUUGCACGAAGAUAAGAUAUACAAAAUUGCUAAAAUUAAUCUCUUAUCCCCCACAAGGUGAACUUAAUGAAGUGGUUAGUGACGUCAGAUUAUUACUCAAUAUUGAUGUUUUCUCAGGGAUAGGAUAGUUUAUUCAUUUCUUGUAGAAAAUGGAUCAGUUCUCACCAGUGAAGAUAGAAAGAUAGAAGAUAAGGCUUUAAUUCUAGAACAUAGUGACAUAGGUAGUAGUUAUGAGGUCUUGGAGAGAAUCUUGCAAAAGUACAUAAAGGAUUUACACCAAAAUUUGGUUGGCAUUCCAAUGGCUCUACCCUAGUCAUGAUGUAACCAUAAGGGACAGCAUACCACAGUUGAAUUUAUUGAAAGGUUCUAGUCUCAGCCUAAAAACUAUUGAAAUGACUGUCAGAGAUCACAUGACUUAUAACACAGGGGAUACGGGUACUUUAAAGUUCAUUAUUAUGCAGACAGCAAUAUUCAGAUGGUUGCUCAUAAAAUAUUCAGGAUUUAGUAUUGUUUGUUUAAUAGGGUCCGAGACACCAAGGAAUUUAUUAAAAACAUAGAGCUUUCAGAAACUGGGUGUCAAAUAAAAAUUCGUGAAAAUGAUCACUUAACAUGAGGCACCACAUUCAAUACCUUGCACUGAGAGUUUUCAGUCAUCCAUCCCAAAAUCAUCAGACAAUUAAUGCUCAGCUAUA